rnacentral:rRNA from 1 species
AGCGAACGCUGGCGGCAGGCCUAACACAUGCGAGUCGAACGAACCUUUCGGGGUUAGUGGCGGACGGGUGAGUAACACGUGGGAACGUGCCUUUAGGUUCGGAAUAACUCAGGGAAACUUGUGCUAAUACCGAAUGUGCCCUUCGGGGGAAAGAUUUAUCGCCUUUAGAGCGGCCCGCGUCUGAUUAGCUAGUUGGUUGAGGUAAUGGCUCACCAAGGCGACGAUCAGUAGCUGGUCUGAGAGGAUGAUCAGCCACAUUGGGACUGAGACACGGCCCAAACUCCUACGGGAGGCAGCAGUGGGGAAUCUUGCGCAAUGGGCGAAAGCCUGACGCAGCCAUGCCGCGUGAAUGAUGAAGGUCUUAGGAUUGUAAAAUUCUUUCACCGGGGACGAUAAUGACGGUACCCGGAGAAGAAGCCCAGGCUAACUUCGUG